rnacentral:sRNA from 1 species
UCAUCGACCACUGCGUGAGGGAUAGAACCGGCAUCCUUUUUUUUGAGGAGGAACGACGAAAAAAAAGAUAUAGGCGAAAGCCCGACGGCAA